GCUUCCCUAGCUCAGUCGGUAGAGCAACGCACUCGUAAUGCGUAGGUCGUGGGUUCGAGUCCCAUGGGGAGCU
rnacentral:tRNA from 2 species